GAGAAGCGCACGGGUCCCGGUCGCCUGGGAAACCGCGUGACAACAAGAUGGCGGCGCCGCGGGACGGCUCGGUGGCCCUGCGUGGGAGCUCCUGACAGCUAAAAUCUAGAAGCAGAACUAUGAGCUCGCCUUUGGCCUCCCUUGGCAAGACCCGAAGAGUCCCCCUGGAGUCAGAGCCUGUGAAUCCAGGGAGGCGAGGGAUAAAAAUCUACGGAGAUGAAGACGAGGUAGAUAUGCUGAAUGACGGACGUGGCUCAGAAGAAAGGAUCUCUGUCCCUUCCUGCUAUGGAGGUAUAGGUGCUCCAGUGAGUAGGCAAGUCCCUGUAUUCCAUGACUCGGAGCUGGUGGCCACCCUGUCGAGGAAGUUGCGGGACCUGGAACAGCAAGUGAAGGCUCAGACUGAUGAGCUGCUGUCCAAGGAUCGGAAGAUACGGGCCCUGGAGGAAAUGUUGCAGACCCUCCGGGAGCACCAGGGCAAGGUCACCCUGCAGCGGCAGAAGCAGCUGGAGACCAUGUGCUUGCGGCUGCAGCGGCAGGUGGGGGAGAUGGAGCGGUUCCUCAGUGACUACGGGCUGCAGUGGGUGGGCGAGCCCGGGGACCAGGAGGACUCAGAAGACAACUCAGACUCAGAGGAUGGCAACACAGACUGGAUGACAGCCAAGAAGUUCUGGAAGCCAGGGGACUCGUUGGCGCCCCCCGAGGUGGACUUUGACAGGCUCCUGGCCAGCCUGAAGGAUCUCAGUGAGCUGGUGGUAGAAGGUGACACCCAGGUGACACCAAUGCCCGGGGGAGCACGGCUCCAUGUCCUUGAGCCCAUCCCACUGAAGCUCUAUCGGAAUGGCCUCAUGAUGUUCGAUGGGCCCUUCCGGCCCUUCCAUGACCCCUCCACACAGCGCUGCCUCCGAGACAUUCUGGACGGCUUCUUCCCCUCAGAGCUCCAGCGACUGUACCCUGACGGGGUCCCCUUUAAGGUCAGUGAUCUGCGCAAUCAGGUCUACCCGGAGAAUAGGCUGGAACUGUUCCCAGGUGAGGGCCGCGUGGUGGGCUGGCAGAGGAUUCGCAAGCCCAUGGACAGGAUGGAGCCCCCAGGCUCCAGGAUGACUGCUGAGAAGUUUCUGAACAGGCUCCCCAAGUUUGUGAUCCGGCGAGGCGAGGUGAUUGACAUCCGGGGCCCCAUCCGGGACACCCUGCAGAACUGCUGCCCAUUGCCUGCCCGGAUCCAGGAGAUUGUGGUGGAGACACCAGCCUUGGCUGCUGAGCGUGAGAGGUCCACAGGAGCCAGGAAUCCCCCGAGUCACAGGCGCCCCUGCUCUCCAUGCUGCGUAUCAAGUCUGAGAAUGGCGAGCAGGCCUUCUUGCUGAUGAUGCGGCCCGAGGACACUGUUGGCGAUGUGCGCACCCUGCUUGCACAGGCCAGAGCCGUGGACGCCACGACCUUCGAGAUCAUCAGUACAUUCCCACCCACGGUCUACCACGAUGACACGGUCACGCUGCAGGCCGCAGGCUUGGUGCCCAACGCAGCGCUGCUGCUUCGGGCUAGCCGGGCCCCACCGCCUGCCCCAGGCCCUGGCCCCUGAUCCAAAUAAAGCGCCCGCUCCCACACUG